rnacentral:rRNA from 1 species
GACGAACGCUGGCGGCGUGCCUAAUACAUGCAAGUAGAACGCUGAAGGAGGAGCUUGCUCUUCUGGAUGAGUUGCGAACGGGUGAGUAACGCGUAGGUAACCUGCCUGGUAGCGGGGGAUAACUAUUGGAAACGAUAGCUAAUACCGCAUAAUAGUAGAUGUUGCAUGAUAUUUACUUAAAAGGUGCAAUUGCACCACUACCAGAUGGACCUGCGUUGUAUUAGCUAGUUGGUGGGGUAACGGCUCACCAAGGCGACGAUACAUAGCCGACCGGAGAGGGUGAUCGGCCACACUGGGACUGAGACACGGCCCAGACUCCUACGGGAGGCAGCAGUAGGGAAUCUUCGGCAAUGGACGAAAGUCUGACCGAGCAACGCCGCGUGAGUGAAGAAGGUUUUCGGAUCGUAAAGCUCUGUUGUAAGAGAAGAACGAGUGUGAGAGUGGAAAGUUCACACUGUGACGGUAUCUUACCAGAAAGGGACGGCUAACUACGUG